UAGCGAAGGGGGCUAGCGUUGCUCGGAAUUACUGGGCGUAAAGGGCGCGUAGGCGGCACUGUUAGUCAGGCGUGAAAUUCCUGGGCUCAACCUGGGGACUGCGCUUGAUACGGCAGAGCUAGAGGAUGGAAGAGGCUCGCGGAAUUCCCAGUGUAGAGGUGAAAUUCGUAGAUAUUGGGAAGAACACCGGUGGCGAAGGCGGCGAGCUGGUCCAUUACUGACGGCUGAGGCGCGACAGCGUGGGGAGCAAACAGG
rnacentral:rRNA from 1 species